rnacentral:rRNA from 1 species
GGGGAAUAUUGCACAAUGGAGGAAACUCUGAUGCAGCGACGCCGCGUGAGUGAAGGAGGUCUUCGGAUCGUAAAACUCUGUCCUUGGUGAAGAAUAAAUGACGGUAGCCAAGGAGGAAGCCCCGGCUAACUACGUGCCAGCAGCCGCGGUAAUACGUAGGGGGCGAGCGUUGUCCGGAUUUACUGGGCGUAAAGGGUGAGUAGGCGGUAAUAUGUGUCAGAUGUAAAAGGCUAUGGCUUAACCAUAGUUGGCAUUUGAAACUGUAUUACUUGAGUGCAGGAGAGGUAAGUGGAAUUCCUAGUGUAGCGGUGAAAUGCGUAGAUAUUAGGAGGAACACCAGUGGCGAAGGCGACUUACUGGACUGUAACUGACGCUGAGUCACGAAAGCGUGGGUAGCAAAC